CUAACUCCGUGCCAGCAGCCGCGGUAAUACGGAGGGGGUUAGCGUUGUUCGGAAUUACUGGGCGUAAAGCGCACGUAGGCGGAUUAGAAAGUUGGGGGUGAAAUCCCGGGGCUCAACCCCGGAACUGCCUCCAAAACUCCUAGUCUAGAGUUCGAGAGAGGUGAGUGGAAUUCCGAGUGUAGAGGUGAAAUUCGUAGAUAUUCGGAGGAACACCAGUGGCGAAGGCGGCUCACUGGCUCGAUACUGACGCUGAGGUGCGAAAGUGUGGGGAGCAAACAGGAUUAGAUACCCUGGUAGUCCACACCGUAAACGAUGAAUGCCAGUCGUCGGGUAGUAUACUAUUCGGUGACACACCUAACGGAUUAAGCAUUCCGCCUGGGGAGUACGAUCGCGAGACUAA
rnacentral:rRNA from 1 species